rnacentral:rRNA from 1 species
GACGAACGCUGGCGGCGUGCCUAAUACAUGCAAGUCGAACGAGAGCGACCGGUGCUUGCACUGGUCAAUCUAGUGGCGAACGGGUGAGUAACACGUGGGUAACCUGCCCAUCAGAGGGGGAUAACAUCCGGAAACGGAUGCUAAAACCGCAUAGGUCUUCGAGCCGCAUGGCUUGAAGAGGAAAAGAGGCGCAAGCUUCUGCUGAUGGAUGGACCCGCGGUGCAUUAGCUAGUUGGUGAGGUAACGGCUCACCAAGGCCGUGAUGCAUAGCCGACCUGAGAGGGUGAUCGGCCACAUUGGGACUGAGACACGGCCCAAACUCCUACGGGAGGCAGCAGUAGGGAAUCUUCCGCAAUGGACGCAAGUCUGACGGAGCAACGCCACGUGAGUGAAGAAGGUUUUCGGAUCGUAAAACUCUGUUGUUAGAGAAGAACAAGUGCUAGAGUAACUGUUAGCGCCUUGACGGUAUCUAACCAGAAAGCCACGGCUAACUACGUG